UGAAAAUGAUGGACUUCCUGUUGGAGUUAGGUCAGAGGUGUCAGUACAUGAUUAGGUCUUGAUGAGAUGAUCAAAUGAGCGUUCAAAUGAGUGCAUCUAGGUGGCGCUACAGCGCACAAUUUUGGCAGUGAAGGGUUAAUUAUUUCAUUUUCACCAAAUUUGUUGCUGGUCAUGAUGUGCAUGACAUAUUUGGUGAGUUUCGGAUGUGGUUUAGGGAAUCAAAUUUGAAGUCAAAAACGAUUCAGUAAAAUAAUAAUAAACACUACAAAUACAAUAGGGGCCUCGCUGCAGGCCGGCCUCCGUGUGUCACCAAGACCUGCCUUUUGCUCGAGCCCUAAAAAAUACAAAUACAGAGAAACAAAGAAACAGAAAAGAGAAUUAAAUCAAAAGACAAAAAGAAUGAAAAAGGAAAGUUGAACUGUUUGUGUGCAGACCCUGAGUGUGUGAGCUGUGUUUCAGGUUUUGGGCUCCAUUUUGUUCGGAUUUUCUCUGAUCCGUUUGUGGCUCACCACCUUCGCCAUCCUCGGCCUCGCGGUUCUCGGCAUGUACGGCAGCAUCACCGAGAAGAAGACCCCGCUCAUCGUGUUCUGUGUCCUGAUGUGGAUCACCACCGUCAUCCUGGUGAGCUACGGCACCACCGUCAUCCUGACCAUCGACGAGGUCAAAUCUGGAAUCCCUGCAGGCGACCGACAGAGUUUGACCGAGUCCUUCAGCACGGCUUUGGGAAUCUUCUUCGGAACCGGUGCCUUCACGUUUGUGGGGGGGCUGCUGGCCGUGCUCAUGGUGAGGCAGAUCCAGCAGCGCGGCGACGUUGGCAGCUGGAUGCCACUGAAGAAUCCCCCGUCGCUCCUGAUCAAUAAAUGCUAACAGGGGCAACCUCUGCCACACUGUGCCAACAAGAUGCUCACUUCCUGUUUCUGUUACAAAUGUCCAAAUUCUUUGAAAUUUUACUUCAACUAAGACACAUUUACACUUUCAAUAUUUUUCCAUCUGUAUGAAUUUUCUCAUAGAAACUGAAGAAAGACUGCUUCAAAAAAGGACAUGAAGAAAAACAUCUCCAAAGAUACAAUAAAAUGACCCCAAUCAUACAAUCAAAGAAGCUUUUGUGUCAUUUUGUUCACGUUUUUGAU
rnacentral:lncRNA from 1 species